CUUAAAUUUUUUGAUUUUUUUCAAGUUUUAUUUCUCAUAGAUUUUAUUUUCCAAUUUUUCGACGAUUUUACCCUUUUCAUAUUUUUUUUUGUGUCUAAAUUUUUUCGAUUUGGACUGAAGCUCAAGGUCAAAUUUGCAAGCGCUGAUGACGAAUAUCGGUUUAUUUUUUCGAUCCGAUCUUUCUGAAUCCUCCCCUCGCCCGGUCAAUGUCCUUUAGCAUGGUUGAAAUACAUAAAAAAAUUGAAGAGAAGUCGUCUUGACAGGUUUUCGAGAGCUCUGAAUUCAAAUAUCAUCAAUUUUUCUGGGUAUACAACUUCUCUUUACCCCAGCCCCCUCUCAAUGUUGAGGGGGAAAACGUCUGAGGAAUUAUGAAAGUGUGAUAUAAGACGUCGAUUCCCUUCAUUUCAUUUUUAUUUGUUUGAAGGGGGAAUCCUGGGUGGGAUCAAAUAUUUAUUUUUUGGAUUCGAGCAUUCUGAAGAAGUACAAAAUUUAUGAAACUGUUUUCCCCUCUUCCAUUAAAUUUAUUCAAUCACAUUCUUCAUCUUCGUAUCUCCCUCCUCCUCCCCCCCCCCAUCAAAAAAAUGUUUCCAGGAAUAUGAAAUGAUUGCGAGUAAAUGGAACGAGAAAAUUCAGGAGCAAUGACCUGUUCCAAAUUAGAGUGUAAACAAACUGUCCGUUCAACCUUUUCUAAUGAUGCUAAUAUUUUUAAUACUCCAUCCUAAUUUUAAAAAAUUUGAAAACCCCGAGUUAAAAAUCAGGUCCUGAUUAUUUCCGCUUCGUAUGAACCAAAGUGUCGUUUUCUUGACCUACUCCACUUCCCAAAGCUCUCUUCUCACUUCGCCCUCAUCGAUUUUCAAAACAAACAUUCUCUUCCGAAGAAAACCCACAUACCCGAGCAUCAAACACCAACUUGGUGUAGCAGUAGACAUAGACUACCUAUACGAUAUCAUCAUCAUCAUCAUGGUAGUAAAUAUGUUAUGCUGUCUUAUUAUUCAGUCUACAAUGUACACAUCACGUGUUCGCGUCUUGUACUCUUGUAAGUAAGAAAUUUGGCUCUGGCGUAGGGACAUUUGUAGUAUAUAUCAAUUCGAAGAAUUUACGAGCGAAUUAUUUUUACUCGUGUGCACAGAAUCAUACCACUUAACGCAGAUCUGCGUUUAAAAAAGAUCCAAGCAUUAUAAGAACUUGGGAAUAAGAUCAACCAUAAGACUAUACGAAUCUUUAUCAAAAUCAACAAUAUUUUCAGAUGCAUUGUCUUUAUUGUUACAUGAAUCCUUGACACUUCAUGAUGAAAAAAUCAAUACAGAGGGAACGAGUAUUCUGUGAAGCUAAACAAAGUCAAGUUUUUCUAGUUUCUUCACUUUAGAAAAUCGUGCUUUGAUAUUGAAAAACUUUGGUAACAUCUGACAACGUCGCCUUUCAAGAGAAGGAUCAUGAAUUUGAUUUGGAAAGUUCCUGCGGAAAGAAUUUUCGGUGAGAAUUUGAUUGGAUACAAAUGAGGUAAGCGUUGACUCAAUCGCACGUAUCCGGAUACCUACCUAAGUAUAUCUACCCACUCGAAGAACAAUCGUAAAUCAACGAGUGUUACAAUAAGUUAGGUAGCGAGGUACAUACAAAUCAGCAAUAACGAUCAAUUAAUAAUCACGUAAUCGCCAGCAAGGUAAACAGUAAUUAAAAUUAUCUAGGUAGUUGAUUUGGUGCAAUAUUUUAUUAUGAAAAAUACCUAAGCGAAGAAAAACCCAUACCUUAUUGGAACUAUUACUUCGAUAUUGGUGUUAAUAAAUCGAUCCAGAAGCAAAACAAGAUGUUUUUUUGCCGAAUCGAAUCUAAUCGUACGGAUUUCAGCGAGAAAGAAAGGAAGUAUACACAGCACCGAAACCAAUUAGACGAUUUCAAGGUACAUGAUUCGUAUAUUAUGUUCUUGGGUCAUACCUCAUAGGUAGGUAGUACGUAUUCAUCGAAGUACACAACAAAAAUAGAGGACUCGCGUAUUUUUAUGUUGACGAUGAAGAUGACGACGACGACGAGUACGCCGAAGAUGAAUUUCAUCAAACGAUCAACAUUGCCAAAACUCUACGAUUUUUGCACAUGGAUGAAGCUCGCCAUCGCGACCGACGAUGUUAAUCUGUUAUCGAUUUGAAACUUGGCCAAGAUGUUUGUGUUCGAACAUGCUUGUUUGCUUCUGCGGAUACUAAAUCCAAGCUAAUCCGUAUGCUCGUGAAGAAGUUCGGGUAUAUAGAAGAAAGAAUUAUAAGUUUCGAAUAUUUAUGAUUAUCCAUAAAGUAAAGGCUACGAGGACGGAUCGCGCCAGGAUACGGUGUCGCGAAGAUUCAAAUCAAAUCACAAUUUUUGAAAAAAAUUUCGAAUCGUAACUCUUUCAAUUGGACUGCAUUUCUACUCGUUUGAUCAAGGAUUUAUCCAAACCUAUACAGAAGAACUUGUUACAGUGAAAAUGUAUGGCUAGAAUUAUGAACUAGAUGAACAACGACAUACUUGUAAAGGUAUUUCUUCUAUUUCUUUCGUUUGGAUUUGCUCCGGUGUGAAAAGUCUAUCGAUCUGGGCUCGUGGUAAAUGCAGAGUCAUUAUACGUAAAGGGAUACCGAUUUGGCAAGCUGAUAAUCCUACGAAUUGACCACCAGAAUUUGAAUCGGAUAAGGCCCCUUUAUUCUCUUCUCUUCCUUCGGGUCAUCGCCCAUGAAAUGUACCUACAGAUCAAAGCCUGAUAUGACUUCGGUGAAAAAGUCGAAUCGACGAGGAGUUUCAGAGCAUAAGUCAAUAAAUGAUCGAUAGCUAAAGCUAACGACGAUGACCCACUUUGAAUGUGAUUAGGAUUACUCAAGAUAUGGUUCUGUUCCAUACUGAAAACCCUGAAGGAAAUUUGCUCGGAAAUGCUCGCUUUAUUAAAUUAGGUUAUAAUUGAUUUACUCAACUGAAAUGGACAGAUGUUGAAGUACCUAUACGUUUAUGAGUUUUAAGUUAUUGAUGCGACAAAGUGACGUCCUGCAACUUAAUUUACACAUUAUUUCACGUUGGAAAGCACAAAGACAGAUAUGAAGAUUCAAAACCAUUAAAAGGAUGAGCGUCCAACCUUUCGAAUAUUAUCAUAGAAGAAUAAUUAUAUAGGUAGAGGUACCUACGUUGAUUUUCUAAAGAUUCAUUCUGUAAUAUUGAUCGAAAGUUUGAGUGACUGAUGUUGUAUGAAGACACAGAUAGGUAAUAUUUUUAAGUAUUUUAUAAGAUCCAUGACUUAAAUAUUUUUCGUCGGUAAUUUGAUUCUGUUUAUAUAGCUAUUUUUUGAUGGAUUUCACUUUCAGACCAGAAAAGUCUAAACAAACUGCAACUAUCAUCGAAGCCUUGUAGGAUUUAAAAUAAACCUCCAAAUCUGAUGUUAUUGACAUUUCGCAGAAUGCGUUUUCAAGUGGUGCUGCCAAUUAGAAAAUAUAAGACAAAAAUUCAUUAAAAUUUUAAAAAAAUCAAAGGAAGUUUAUUUGGAGAAAAAAAACGUUUCACAUUCCGUUGCAAAGUAAAAUUAUUGGUGUUUCUUAUUUCUUUGCGGAGGUAUUUUUACUUUUUUUCCAACGCAACACAACAAAGAAUUGAAUAAUUUAAAUUUAAACUAAGUACAUUGAAAAAAUUUGAAAAAAUUUGAAAAUUAUAAUUACUAAUUAGUAAGAAAAGAAAAUCUUUAGACUAAAUAAAAUAACAGAAAGACGCAAAAAAGCAAAUCAAAGAAUUACUUACUAAAUGAGUUGUCAAGCUAACUUUUUUGGUUGAAAUCUGAAAUGUGGUUGUAUCGAGAGGCCACUUGCCAGGUCCUAGGAAACUGGAAAGAAAUACAAAAAAGGCUUGAUUGUCACCAUAUUAAUAUAUUACUAAUACUACCCAGAAUUAAUAAUAUUUACUUACCGUAAUUGGCAAUAAAAAAAAAUAAUUGAAAACUGAAACUAAAAACCCACAAAACCAAAUAAAAAUACGGAAAAGCUAAACACCAAAAACCAAAUACAAAAAGCGGUCAAAACUAAUUUUAUCAAAAGGUGAAAACUGAACUGAAACCAAUAAUCAAAAAUCAUUUCAAUUUCAGUUUUCAGCCCCUGAUUUAAACAUUUUCAACUAAAAAAGCAUGCAAUCAUUAGUAAGAAGAGAAAAUCUUUAGAUUAAAUAACAGAAAAAUUCAAAGAAAGCAAAUCAAAGAAUCUUUCUGAAUGAGUUGUCAAGCAAAUCUGCUUGGUGCAUAGCUAUAUGUAUAUUAUAUGUAGUGUCUUGAAUUGAGCAGUAAUUGUAGAAUCAAAAAAUUCCAAAAUUAUGAUGAAGUAUGCACCAAAGUUUUGUUAUUUUCUUCUAACUUAUGUAUUUUUUAGUGAAUAUUAAGUGCAUUAAAAUUGUAAACAGUUGAAUAUUGGAGAUAUAAUUUUACUACGUAUAAAUUACUUUUUUUUUAAAUGCACAAUGGAUUCUUUGUAAGUAAUCAUUUAUAUUAGGAAGUUUAUUUUGCAGGAAAAAAAAACAUUUCACAUUCCGUUGCAAAGUAAAAAGUAUUUCUUAUUUCUUUGUGUAGGUAUAUUUUUACUUUUUUCCCAACACAAUAAAGAAUUAAAUAAUUGAAAUUUGAACUACCUAAGUAAAAAAAAAAUUAAAGAAAAAAAAACUGAAUUUUCAAUUUUUUAGCUUUUUACUUCUUGUUUUUUUAAAAUAAUUAUUUUGAAAUGUUAAUUUUUUUGAGAAAAUGUGCAAAAAGUUGAUACAUAUCAAAACUAGGUAUAUUAAAAUUAUAACUACUAAAUAGUAAAAAGAGAAAAUCUUUAGACUAAAUAACAAAAAGACGCAAAGAAAGCAAAUAAAAAAAUUACUUACUGAAUGAGUUGUCAAGCAAAUCUCCUUUAUACAUUGAUAUAUUUGAGAAAACUGGUGUCUAGAAUUUGAAAAACGUUAAAAUUACGCACCAAGACAUUUAUUUACUUACAUUACCUAUCUAAAGUUAAACUUGAAAUUAACCACACUGGACUUUCCAGGUUAUCAAUACGAAUGUCGAAUACUGAUCGAUACUGUUGAAAAUUUUGCCAAACGUUCAUUUAUCUAAAUCUGAAACUUUCAUAGGCUUUCUUUCAUAAUUUACAAAAUAUAUUAUUAAACAUUAUUUAAACAAAAAUAAAGUUAUUUUAUUUUUUAUUUUUACACAUAGGUAUUGUUUGCACCACACAAUAAUGAGGGUUGGCCAGUGCAAAGUACCUAUUUCAAUAAAGUUUCUCGAUCAGUCAUAUUGGCUGAAUACUUAAAUAUUUCAUGUAUUUUUAAGCAGUAAAAGCAAUGAUAGAAAUGAAUCUAUACAUACUCGCACGUACUGUAACUAUCCAUUUUUAAAAUUUGUUGUUUGUACCUACCAUUCAUAAAGUUUUGUUACGUCCUUGUGACUUAUGUAUUUUUAGUGAAUAUUAAGUGCAUUGAAAUUGUAAAAAUGUUGAUGUUGAAUAUUGGAGGAAUAAUUUCACUACACAUGACAUAUUUUAUACUGCAUAUUUUUUUAAUUGGUUUCGUUAUUUCCUUAUGAUAAUUUUUUUUCUUGCAUUUAUGAUGAAUUUUUUGUUUUGUUGUUUGCAUCACUUACUUGGUUUUGUUUUAGGUUGCUGUAACUCAUUUUAACUGUUGAAUAUUAUACUUAUGUAUGUUUUGAUAUCAA